rnacentral:tRNA from 1 species
GCGCAUUUAUCUCAGUGGCAGAGUGCAUGACUCUUAAUCUUGCGACCAAGGUUCGAUUCCUUGAAUGCGCU